rnacentral:piRNA from 1 species
UAGGAGUUCUAUUUGAAAAAAAAAUCU